rnacentral:rRNA from 1 species
UUGACAUACUAAGAACUUUCCAGAGAUGGAUUGGUGCCUUCGGGAACUUAGAUACAGGUGCUGCAUGGCUGUCGUCAGCUCGUGUCGUGAGAUGUUGGGUUAAGUCCCGCAACGAGCGCAACCCUUUUCCUUAUUUGCCAGCGGGUCAUGCCGGGAACUUUAAGGAUACUGCCAGUGACAAACUGGAGGAAGGCGGGGACGACGUCAAGUCAUCAUGGCCCUUACGGCCAGGGCUACACACGUGCUACAAUGGUCGGUACAAAGGGUUGCUACCUCGCGAGAGGAUGCUAAUCUCAAAAAGCCGAUCGUAGUCCGGAUCGCAGUCUGCAACUCGACUGCGUGAAGUCGGAAUCGCUAGUAAUCGCGGAUCAGAAUGCCGCGGUGAAUACGUUCCCGGGCCUUGUACACAGCGCCCGUCACACCAUGGGAGUUUGUUGCACCAGAAGUAGGUAGUCUAACCGCAAGGAGGACGCUUACCACGGUGUGGCCGAUGACUGGGGUGAAGUCGUAACAAGGUAGGCGUAGAUGA